rnacentral:lncRNA from 1 species
UUUUUUUUUUUUUUUUUUGUCAAAAUAGACAAGUGAUAGAUUAAUGAACUACUAAUUUGGUGCCAAAUAAGAGUGCACGUGGUAUUAUUAAGCAUCGCAAGUUGAAGAUCCAUAUCCAAAGCUUAGUCAGUCGCAGAGAAUAAGUUGCUCAUGAAAAUGACCGGUAUAUUUUCAGAAGAUUUGCUCUUUGUUUCUGUGUGGUAUUUUAUUUAUUGCCAGUUCUGGACAACAAUUUAGACUAGUAUAUAUGAUUUCAACGAAAACGAGAGCGACUGGUGUUUGGUGACGACGUCGUAAGUAAGUGCCUUUUUUUAAAAAAGUAAAAUAAAAAUUUAUUAAUUUGGUACACAUUCUGCCGCGAUUUUUAUUCUGCGUGACAUGAUAUCAUGUGUUUUCUUGUUCCUUGCAUUUUGAUUUUUGCUCUUUAGUCUUAAAGUCUAAACUACUCGACCCAAGGAGUGAUUAGAAUUGACUAUUUCUUUCUUUCUUUUCUUUGUUUUUGUUUUUUGUUUUUCCAUCUCACUCGAUAUUAUUAUUAAUACACCACCGCGGGAGGCUGCUCUUUGUUUGGUGCAUUGAUGAAAUUAAAUGAAUUUGAAACUGUUAGCUGCAAAAAUUAUUUGCUGUGCAACACCAACAAUAAAAGUUGCUGCAGGCGGGGUUUAGCAUCCACGGCCUGAGUAUUGAUUGGUCCUAUCCAGCAUCGUACCCACACCCUAAAUACGUGUGUGCCCAGUCGACAAAUAAUGACAACGUUACCUUUAUGGAUUAAUUUUUUCUACACUGACAAUGUAUACACAGUCAAUGUUGGAUGAAUGACAAUUAUACAAAAUUUGAAUUUGAGAUUCAACAUCUGCACACAUGUCAUGAAUCAAACGGUGAUAGUGUAUACUGACAGUGUGUAUAAGAUUUACUCUACCUUUAUUAACGCACCAAAAGGAAUCGAUUAAGUAUAGGAUUAAAUCGACAAAUUGCACAUUAAUAGUAUAUAGAAAAAGUUACUCUUAAAUAUAUUUGUUGUUAUAAAAAAAACUAUGCUUGACCAUGAAUAAAUUAUAAGAAUUUUUUUCCCUUUUCUAAACCAAGCGAUUUUUUUUUAAUGAUUCAUCCAUUAUUAAAAAAAAAAAAUUGAGAUUCAUCCAUCACGCAUUUAAUUUGUUGGAUCCCCCAAUUGAUCUUUGUUACUUUCAGCCAUCCACUUACCUUAUAUGCAACACCUCAGGAAAUUUAAAAUAGUCAGCAAUUCAUGAUGGACCAACAGCUAAUAAUUCAUGGGGCAACACCUAUAGGUGGACCAAAAGCUAAAAUGGACCAAUUUAUUUACUAAUUGGGUUGCCCAGCUUUCUCUUGCAACCAGCGACCCAUUACACAGAGGUACGUGACAACCAAAUAAUUGGCCCAAAGUCAUGCAACGUUACGUGCUUGCGUAAGCACGUGUGUGAGGUGACAACGCAUGUUAGGUUCACCUGUUCACUUGGUAUGUACAGGCCAUUUGUUUAAUUGCGCUGGCAAUGGUAGGCGAUCCAAAAAGAAUUUCAUCUGGUAUUCGAAUUUCACUUGGCCAUUUAUUUGUGCUGUGUAUUCAAAUUUCACUAUUGAUGUGAUAAUUGCGUUAGUAGGUAAUUUAAAGAGAUUGAGGCAUGUACGAUUUGCAUUUGGUACAAUUAUUAGGGCUAUUGUAUUUCUUUCAUGAUUUGAUAUAUAUUUACAAACACGCUUACAUCCAUCUAUUAUAUUGGUACGAAUGACAAGAUUUAUACUUGCCUCAACCUAUUUGUAGGUACUGUCAUAAGUGACCUAUAAUUUUUAAGAUUUGAUCUGCCUCGUCUUAGCAUGAUAAUUAGAGUUAAAACUACCCAAACUUUUCUUAAUCUAACAUAUACACACGGAAUAAGAAAAACCAAAAAGGAACAAAAUGUCUGUGGUGUGAAAUUUUGGUUGAUUAGAAACACGGACAUGCUUAGUAAGUCGUUACGUUUAAUUUGCAAUCACAUUUCUUUUAAAUUUUACUUUACAUUGAGGUAUUUUCAUUUGAUUAUUUCAAACUCAUUUUAAUUUUGUUUUUUGAAAAAUUAAUUUGACUAAAUUCAAUUUGACACUGCGUCUAGAUUUUACACUUUUUGAAAUAAACAAAAGAAUAUAAAAUUUAGAGUAUAUCCAAAAGAAGAUAACUCUUGCAAAUUCUUCAUUUUUGUGUUUUGGGUGGGGGUGGCUCAAUUAGUAGUAGUAGUAGUAUUUUCCAGUUAAUAGAAUGAGACACCGCUGAAAAUUAUGGCGGAAAAUUUAACCGCAUCGGUGGUCUUAACCGACUAAUGGUGGCGUACCCAGCAGCGGAUGUGUGUUAGCAGCUGAGUCACGGCGAGCGAGUAGUUUUUGACCUUUUUUGGUCAGAUUGAAGCUUUGUUAAUUCCACAAGCAAAUUCAUCGCGAAACUAACAGUAAUAUUAAAUGGCGACAGUGAGGCUACUAAUGCUCCAGAAAGCUCUACUCCAUCGAACGACGUCGUGGUCUUCUUCUCAGCUGCUCCUCCGAUCUCCCAGUAUUCCCAUUCUCACCUCCCUUCGAGCUUUCUCCUCAGCAGCUGCCCUGUCUCCGCCUUCCACGGCGGUUGUGUACGAUCAGCAUGGACCACCCGACACCGUCACCAGAAUCACGGAGCUUCCGCCGGUUGAAAUUAAAGAGAAUGACGUCUGCGUUAAAAUGCUUGCCGCUCCUAUCAAUCCUUCCGAUAUUAAUCGAAUUGAAGGUCUCCUUCUACUCCGUCUUCCAUUCCGGAUAAAUUUAUCAACUGCAUACAUAAUUUAGUACAAGUUCAUUGACAUUUUCUUUUUAAAAUUGAUAAGUAUAGGAGUAUAUCCGGUGCGGCCACCAGUGCCCGCGGUUGGGGGUUACGAGGGUGUAGGAGAGGUGCAUUCUGUCGGGCCAGGAGUAAAAGGUUUCUCUGCCGGCGAUUUGGUCAUUUCAUCUCCACCUUCUUCAGGUACACCUCUGCUAUUCCUCUUUAUUUUAUCAAGUUGGAUAUGAUAUUUUUCUUCUUCUUGUUUUUCAUACGUACAUACAUACAUUUAUAUAAUUUUUUUGCUCUUGCUUAUUUUUGUUCUAAAAACCUGCGGUAGUGGUGGAAGGGAAGUUUUGGCAAAUUUAAGCAGACAUCAAUUUUGGUUAAAUGUACUUAAUGAUAUCUGAGUUAUAACGACUACUAUUGUUUGAAUCAAUUUUUUCCCCUCCAAGUUUGUUGCAAGAUGGUUUAAGCAUGUUUCAUAGCAAAAAGAUGACAGCAAUCUUUUCAGCACUCCUCCUAGUAUGAAUUUGAUGUGUUUCUUAAGAAACAUAAACAGGAUUGCUGAAAAAAUUUGGAUUCGAGGGUCACCAUCUCAUUGAAGAUAUCUUAAUAUACUUUCAGAAUUUCCAUUUAAUUUUCCAAUUAAUCAUUGAUAUCACAAUUUUUUCCUUUUUCUUGUGAAGAAUUUUAUUUUCUAACUUCUUUGCUGCAAAAAACUUGUCUUUUACUCAGGGACUUGGCAGACUUAUGUUGUAAAAGAGCAAAGUCUUUGGCACAGAAUUGAUAAUGGAACCCCUAUUGAAUAUGCUGCGACAGUUACUGUUAAUCCUUUGACUGCCCUUAGAAUGGUUGAGGAUUUUGUUGAUUUAAAUUCAGGUACUGUUUUUCUCUCAUAGUAUAUAUAUUAAGUUAUCUACUGCUUAUUAUCUCUCACUAGUGUGCACAUAUAUAGGGGAUUCAAUCGUUCAAAAUGGAGCAACCAGCAUUGUAGGGCAGUGUGUCAUCCAGCUCGCUCGUGAACGAGGCAUCCAUACUGUUAAUAUUAUAAGGGACAGGUGCUCUUUUGAUUUUUAGUUACUAUUCCCCUCUAACCUUGAUUAUGCUAAUUUGUCAAAUAAUUCCUUAUUGAAGCUACUGGAGAAGAAUGUAUAAACUUUUUGACUUUCAGCUCCUUUCAAGUAUUAUCUGCUACUCGGCAUACUUUUAUAGAAACUCUUCUAUUUAAAAAAGAAACCCACGUCGUUCCUAGAUCUGUGAAGGCGAUUCGCAUCAUCAGGAUGUCAUUGUGUCAAUUUAUUUUCAUGGUUUAAGUCUUGUAAUGACAUUUUGGGUGAUAAAAACCUGGUGAGUAAAAAAAUUCAACACUGAAAAGGAAAAUUGUCUUCCCAUUCGGAUUAUAUACCAAAUCGCUCCACAAAGAUGAAGACGUAGAAAAGCUAAGCAACUGCCUGAGAUUCAUGUAGGACAGAAUGAAGUUAAUGCAUUUCAGCUUGAAGGACUGAGCUAGGAUCUUAAACACCAUUGCAAGUGAAAAGAAUUUUAUCAGCAAAUUGUUGCCUUUCAUCAUAUUAAUUCCUCUAUUAUUACACCGAGCCUGUAGAGAUCCCACUUAAGUCGAUGAUGUGCUUGCUUUUUGGACGUGUAAAAUUUGUGGCUUGUACUCUGACAAAAUUCAUUGUAUUUUGUCACAUUCACUUGAUACAGGGCCAGAUCAGACGAAGUAAAAGAAAAGCUCAAGAAACUUGGGGCUGAUGAAGUGUAUACGGAGAGUCAACUAGAAGUGAAGAAUCUUAAAAGCCUCCUGGUAGCAUAUGUCAACCCAUUCAGUGGAUAUUUUCUGAAUGAGGCAUUUUGUUUUUUGGGUCUCAAACAUUUCUUUCUGGCUUUUAUGUAAUUUGAUUUCAACACAUAUGGGAUCACCUUCUUUGAUUAUUUCCUGAUAUUUGCACCUACUCAUUCUUUUGUGAAUCACUAUAAUCUUAUACAUCUCAUGCUGCUGUAGAUCAAUCUUCCUGAACCUGCAUUAGGAUUCAACUGUGUUGGUGGAAACGCUGCUUCUUUGGUUCUCAAGUUCUUGAGGUGAGAAGUCUAAUUUCUUAUACUUUCAUCUAGUUUCCCAAUUAAUACAGUGAUGUUUGGUUUCCUUUUUUCAGACAGGGUGGAACUAUGGUUACAUAUGGAGGAAUGUCAAAGAAACCAAUAACUGUAUCAACUACAUCUUUCAUAUUUAGGGUAGGCUUUGAAAAGUUUGUCUUUUACUUAAUAUGCCUUGGAUGCAGCUAGUGAUUCAGGAGCACAAUGCUUCCUAUCCUUGUAUAUGGCUCCCUGUAUGGUAUUGAUCAAGGUUUGCCUUGUAGAAGAGAGGCUUAUCAGAAACCAGUUUGGCUAAACAUUCAAUGGCCGUGGCUGAUAUUAAGGCAGUGUUCAUCUGUCCAUAUUCUGAGAAGAGCAAGAGAAUGUUACCUUUGGAACUCUGAGACAAUAUAAUAUCUCGAAAACAAAGCUCUCUGAAGUACCACGUCAUUCUGUUAGAUGAUUUAUUAAUUUCAGAUGUGGCUGGUGACUAUCAGUUCAAAAUUUGAUCCUAUCAUCUUUUUGCCUCAAUGCUUCAAGUUUUGUGUGUGACUUACAAGAACCACUAGCAGGUCUUUUGAAUGGUUUAAGGUGAUCACCUAUUAAAGAAAUAUGUAGUUGAUGAAGUGUCCCUAUAGGUUAUAUAGCAAGCUUGAUUACUUGAUGCAUUUUCCUGGAGCUGGGGAGGUUUACAUCCCUAUAAAACUUGGUCAUGAGGACUGAUAUCAGCUAGGAACUUUGUUGUUUCAUGACCUGCAAUUUUUUCUUGCUAUGAAGCUUGCAUUUUCGUGACCAUGAAAUGUAGUUCCUUACCUAUUUCUGUUCGUUUCUUUGGUGCUGUGCUUUUAGGACCUUUCUUUGAGAGGAUUCUGGUUGCAGAAGUGGAUGACUUCAGAGAAAGCAAAGGAAUGCAGAAGCAUGAUUGAUUAUCUUUUGGGCCUAACUCGAGAGGGGAAAUUAAUAUAUGAGUAUGCUCUCUCUCUCUCUCUCUCUGUUCAUGUUCGUGGUGCACUUGAAUGAUAACACACGUGGUUUACCUAAUCUCAGUAGGUCCAUAAAGCACAUGUUAAAUACAUUGACCUUUGUUAGUUUUAACAUUUCAUGAGCUGGUCAUGCUCUAAUAAUUUGCAGAAUGAUUAUAUUUGCAUGAUUGUACCUUAAAAGGCCUUACCAAAGAGCAUUGAGUUUAGGAUUUUGGAUUGUAGUGCUUGUCGGCCUCUGUUUGUGUCCUGCCUGUCCAAUAGACUUUAUUCUUGAAAUUUGGUGCUAUUAUUAUCCACAUUAUGCUGAUGCUGGCGGUGUAUAUGCUUUUGCAGUAUGGAGCUGGUUCCUUUUAACAACUUCCAAACUGCCUUAGAGAAGGCACUUGGAAAGCUAGGAAGUCAACCCAAACAAGUUAUCAAAUUCUGAUAUUAACUAUUGAGGGGAGCCUGAAAUUUUUGUACAGUAAUACUGAGGGAAAUGUGGUCUGGGAUGCUGAGUUCUGCCAAUGAUAGAAAAGGGGUGCAGUUGUAGCUUUCACAUCUGCUGUACAUGUACAGAAUCUGCUGAGGCCUUGUCACGGUAAUUGAAUCAUCUGGAGUACUAUUGAUUCAAGGUAAAAUGGAAAAGAACGGUUGUUAAUUCAACCGCUUUACAACCGAGGUGUAAUGUUCAUUUCCGUUCAUGUGGACUCCAAUACAUAAUAAUUGCGCCUCUUUUACAAGGUUUUACAAGUAGUUAACAAAGAAUUACAAAUUGUUCAAGAGGUGUUAUACCAUUCUGGAAUGUGCCCAUUUCCCAUUAAUUAAUUGGCAGUGCAGGCUGCAGCUAUCAACAAGGGAGCAAGCUAGACUUGCCCUUGUUUCUGAACCUUCUCUUCCUCUCAUGUUCGACUGUAAAAGAGUUGCAAAUCUCAAUAUGAGGAAUGAAGCGACGCUUGGUCAAUCAAUUCUAUAAUAAUCGACUGUAUGAUUAACUGAAUUUGCGCUUCUGAUUUACACAUUUAAGUGCUACAGUAAUCUCUCAACCAAACUUCUGAUUUACACAUUUAAGUGCAUCCUCGGCCAUUUGAAGGUUGUAAUCAUCAAUCUGCAAUGAAUCACUUAAAGUUUUUGCAGGGAAAAAAAAAAUUAACGCCUCCCUUGCAAUUGAGAAGCACUUGGUUAAUCAUCACUUCCAAACAAUUUUUGUGCAAGACAUUACCCCACAAUUUUAUUGCUAAAAGGUUCCAACUUUCACUCGAAAUGUUAUGGUGAUAAAAGUACUAGUGGAAAAUCUAGAGCAUGCAUAGCAAUUUUAAAAAAUAGAAGAAUAUCUUCCAGAGAGGAAAAAAAGGCAAAAACAUUUUCAGCAGCCAAAAAAUAUUCGCCAGAUCCAGGUUAUAUCUGGUUACUUUUGUCUCUUUGGUUGUAACGAAUCUAUAACGCUAAUAUCCUUUCAGAAUCUGUAUGCCCAGUGUACGUAAGCAACCGGGCCAAGAAUGCUCUGACCUUUGGAGAUAAAUUAAGGUUAAUGAGAUCUAAGAUGUAUGCUCUUUCCUCAAUAUGUAAUCGACGGCCUCUUCCACAGAGUUGACCACCUGCACAAUAAAAAUAUCAUAUGCAUCUCCUCUAAAGUCAGCGUGGAAAAAUAAAGGUCAAAGUCACCAUUUAGCUGAAAGGAGUUAAAAGUAUCUUGGUCUUGCACCAAUCUACUGUACUAACGACAUUGGCCUAAUACUGAAACAUUUGAUUUGUUUUCUAGACAUUGUUUAGUAACCUUUUCUGAGGAGUAAAUAUUUUCUUUCUUAGUAGUGGGUGAAGAGAUGGGUGAAUUGAGUUCUUUCACAUGUCACUGUAAAGUAAAAAUCUGCAAGCACUUGGAGCAGAAUUUAUUCACUGACCAGAUCUGCUGGAUAAUCAGCAUGAUUUCCAAUUCCUUUGAAAACCCCCGUCCUUGUCAAAAUUGAAACCCAAGGAUGCCCUGCCUGGAAAGAUCAGAAAAGUUCAUGCACUCUUCUCGAACAAUCUGAUGAACCAACUGAAAAGUAAUUCAUCAGAAAAUUAUACCUGCUUUGCUCCGUUGAUGUCAACUGAAGGAUUAUCUCCUAUCAUGUAUAGCCUUUUGAAAGGCUGCAUUUCACCACUAGACUGAAUGUUAUUGUAAGCAGAUUGCAGUACUUGAAGCAACACGUUUUCAGCAUUCUUAAAUACAAAUGGAUUUGGUUUUCCAUAAGAUGUGUACUCCAUAUUAUUAGUGUGUAUUCUGCAAAUAAAAACUGUCUUAGCACAUCAUAGGACAGAUUGUAUUUGAUGUCAUAAAAUCCUGAUGGAAGUUUCUCUUAAAGCCUUACCUGUUGAAGAUAGACUCCAAUGCAAUCCUGAAAGCACCCAUGCCAAGACGCUCAGCAGGAAAUAAUGCCUGUGUCAUGCCGCACUUCAUUAGUGUUUUGCCAAAGUUCUUGCUAAUUUAACUAACAAUAGCCUGUGUAAACUCUUAUGAUAGGAGAAAACCUGAUAUGCAAUAUCAUCAUUUGCAAAGAAUAGAGGUGGUUGAUGUGCAAUUUCUCGUCCCGGAAGACCUCCAGUACGGAGAAUGUCACAUAGAACCUACAUUUUGGCAUCCAAGUUCUUAGACUUAAGGAGCUUCACUGCUAUAUAAUUAAACAGCAAGCUAGCUAAAAGAAUGGAAUGGCUUUCUGAGAUCCACUUUCAGGGCAAAGCCCACGUGUUAAACUAAAAUAGAAGCAACUAUCAGGACGCAAAGUACAUGGUAGCCCACUAGAGUUACUGGGAUGCAGGAUGGUUAUCAAACCUAGCAUAUAAAUUCGGAAUUCUUACUCAAAUAACCAUCCAAACAUACUAGAUCAAAUAGUAAACAAUAACAGAAGGAGAUUUAUCCUUUGCCCAACCAUAAAGUAUGAUGCAUGUAGUGCUUAUCAAGGAUGUUCCUCCUUCAACUACCCUAAUUUCUUUCCUGUGUUAUACCUACAUCCAUUAAUAAUUUCUUGUCCCAUCACAUAACAUGAACCUACUCCAACUAAUAAGCCUUUAAAUUUAAACAUGGAGAAUAACACCUAACCAGUUUGAAUCUUUUGAUUUGCAAUUUUUUCUUUAAGCAAAUGUAAGUUUCCAAAGUGCCUUUUAACUACCUAUGCAUGUAAUUUCAAUAUCCCGUAUAUUUAUUUUUUAGAAAUGAGACAGACAACAAAAUUACAACCAUAUAAUUCAAGUAUAAAACACAGAAAACCUGAAUGUCCCUGCUCCAGUCAACAGGAUCACUAACAAUGAACACUGCCUGCACUCUCUGAGAGCAAGGAUCAGUUCUUAGGGCCAUUUCUCUAUCAGUUGGCUGCAUUUUUGUCCAUUUCUUAUAUUGAGCCAAAGGAUCGAUGUUUGGAAAGCAAGAUGCAUAGUCGUCUAUGGAAAGAACAUUUCUGAAAAUACCAAGAAUAAGGAAAUCAGAGGUUUCAAAGAGGGAUAUUUAUGGAGAUCAUACAUUCCAGUCAAAACAAACAAUACCAAGACAUUGAUACCGAAGCCUUACUUAAAGCCAUACUCAGUCAUGACUCUUCCAGGUGCUCCUUUUCCAACAGCAACAAUGAGAUCAUCCUCAUAUCUGUAAGAAAUGGAUAAUUGAGAAAGCAUAGGUAAGAAAGAUAUUAGAAGCUAUGAAUGCAAUGGGUGUGCUUCACAACCACACUACUGAAACGCAAAUGCAAUCACAUAUGUGAUGCUUCAGUUACCUUCCUGUUCUAAGAGAUGAGAUUGAUAAAUUCACCAAAUUUCUACAAUAGAUGACUUAUGAGUGUGCAUGUAAACAGCAUUUUGUGUCCAAGUAAAAAAUUCAUCUCAUAAAAUCCUAAAAUGCUAUUUAUGGCCAUUGCAUGGAACCGAUAUCCAGAUUCUUGUAAAGGUAAAACUUCAUCUUUAAAAUACAAUUAUCGAACUGGAGAGGAUAGAACAAAACUAUAGGAUUAGAAAAUUUUGUUUAUGCAAGAUGGUAACAUUCACCAACCAAUAUGCAGCAUUUGGAUCUAUUAUUGCGUUCAAAAAAAAAAGUUGGGGUAAUGUAACUGUUUUAAGAAACAAGUUGGACAUACUCUAACCAUACAUGAAGGAAUAAGCCCAGGCCUCUUCCAGAUUUAAACAAAUCAACCUACAUCAAUUUGUUAGGAGAAAGCUUCAUGUUUUAUACAAUUAAAUGCAUCCUGACAUUUUAAACUUCUGUAAACAAAUGUAUUGGGCUUGCAAGCGCAAUAAUUAAAACACUGCAUUUGAAGUAGUAUUGAGUAAAAGCAGUUACAGCAGCAAAACAAAAGCUAAUCAAGCUAAGUUGUUUUUUUGGCUUCGUUUCCUUUCAGGGUAGCAUAUCUUUCAAAUGAUUUAACACAACAAUAUUAUUUUAAAUGCAUACAUCUGAACAAUAGGUAGCAAAUGCAACCACAAUAUGGACAUAUUAUUUUAAAUGCAUACGCCUUCAUGUGCUAAUAGAGUAAUCAACGAAAUCAUUUAUCCACAAAAGUUAGUUGACAUUGACAGGCCCAAUUGUUAACACAUAUACCACAUAGCACAAGUAUCAUACGAAUAUCAGAAUUCUGAUACAACUCCUUCCUCUGCUGAAAAAUCACACAUAUUCACCUAUGCUAUCAAAUGAAUUUCCUGUGACACGGAUAGCUGUUUAGUUGUAACAAGCACCUUUUAACAAGUUCUCUGAAUGGAGUAUGUCCCUGUAUAACCUGCAGCAUGAUUCAGUUGAAAAAUUGUUAUGACCAAAAGGCCUCUUUGACAGCAAGAUGCAAACAAUACGUGUAGAACUGAAAAAAAUUCUAAGCUCCUGAUACUGAUAUAUACCUCAAGAUAGACUAAGUUCUACAUUCUAAAAGCCACGAGCCAACUAAUAACAGUACCUGCAAGGGCAAAAUAUCAACGCCCAACUGUUUGCUUAACUCCUUGGCUCUUUCAGAUUCAGGAACUCCACCUCCUAUUACAAUGCUGAAACAAUAAAUCUUCAGCAGCACAAUUAUCCAUUUCAUUAGCCAACGUAAUGUAUAACAUACUGAGCCAAAGUAGUCCAAUGUAAAGGUGAGGAAAUAAUAAACCAAUCACCAAAAUCUCUAAUUACGGAAUAUAAUUGUUACUUUAACUAGCCAAUAAGCAUCUCAUUGCUUCACGAAGACUUUAUGCGAGAAGAAAUGAAUCAUACGAGACAUGCAUAAACAUACCAUUUGUCAGAAAAACAUAAGGAACCUUCAAAGCACCUGGACACAAAGCACAUUUAAAAAAAAAAAAGCAAAUGAGAUGAAAGAUUUUUUUAAAAAUACAUAAUUGUUAACACAAUGAAAUGCCGAAGGACAAUAGAUUGCAGAUAGCCAUUGAAACAUCAUUCUAGGCUAUGUAAAAAAGUUCGUGUGAAAUGGUAAAAUAAAAUGAAAGGCAAUCAAGAGAAAAAUAUGCUCUAUGAAACCCAACUCGAAGCAAUUUAAAAAAAAAAAAAAGUCGAUGUAGUGUUCUCUAACUCUCAACUGAUUGAGCAGGAAUUUGCAGAGUGGUAGUAGAGACGCCUGAGAGCUUGAGGAGAGCCGCCGAUCGAAGUUUCGCCCCGGAGAAGGACGCCGUCAAUGUCGAAGGCAAUGCCAAACGAUCUGCACAAUAACAAGAAUAACAACAACAACAAUAAUAAACAGAAAAAAUCAGCGUGGAAAUUCUAUUAGCAUAAUAUUUACACAGAAAUGCGAGAAGGUAUGCAUAGAGCAAUAAGAGAGGAGGAGAUUGAAAAUACGGUGGUUGUGUGGGAGCGUGAAGCUGGCGAGAAAAGAGUUUGGGAAGUGCCGAAGCUUUUGUGCCACCAUUCAGUUCACUCUUCAGUGAAGAAUUGUUCCUUAGGAUUUGGAGAAGCAGCCUCAUCAUCUGCUUCUUCUAUUCACAUUCAAUGAAUCAGAAGAAAAUAGAAAGAUUCAUGAGCAGACUCUCGCUAGGUUUUCUUUUCUUCUUCUAAUUUCUAUUAUUAGUAGUAUAUAAAUUUUUGGUGUUCAUCCCGUCAAGUGUUCAAUUCAGGUCCGUCCUCCGGGAAAAAGGGAAGCGCAUACCUGUUCCGAGGACUAAAACCGGCUGGUGCAAAUGUUUUAACGGAAGGAAAACCGGUAGAUUUUGUAUUUAACAAAAAUUAAAUAUUUGAGUCGCAGAAAUAUUUGAGAGUAUUAAUUUUUGUUAAAUACAAAACCUACUAGCUUCCUUUUCGUAAAACUAUUAAUAUAACACUUUUUCAAUUUUAGUUACAAAUAUUCAUGUAUUUAACAUAAAUUAAAUGAUUUAGAAUAAAAUGCCCAUAAAGAGUCAAUACUUUACUUAUCUAAUGGAUGAAAAUCAUAAAGAAUUAAUAUUUUAUGGGCUAUUUAUUUUUUAAAAAUAUUUAAUUUAUAUUAAAUAGAUAACCUACCAAUUUCCUUUUUGUAAGAAUAUUACUAUAACACUUUUUGAAUUUUACUUACAAACAUUGAUAUAUUUAUCAUAAAUUAAAUGUUUGAAAGUAAAAUAUCCAUAAAGAGUCGGUACUUUAAAUGGGCAAUGCAUAUUUGCCCAUAAACUACGCCCCUCAAAAUUUAUUAAUUGUUAAUUGAUUUGUAGUACUUUGUCAUUCUUUGGACAUAUAGUACAAAAGGCAAAUCUGAUACAAAAUUCUAAUUUCACUCCCUAAACACAAUAUUUUAAUCAUUUUGGACUGAAUUUGCAAAGAAUUAGUAAAUUCAGGGGAGGUCAGUGCAACUUUUCAAACCACAGGGGAGGUCAGUGCAAGUGUCAGAAACCUCAAGGGAGGUUUAUGCAAUUAUCCCAUUUCUUAAAGAAGAUGAAAAAUGGCCUUAUUUGAUAAUCAAGUUUUUGGCCCUCGGGUGGUGCAGUUCACCUGGUCGUGUCGUCUAUUUUUACAGCAUCGACUACAGUUCGACUCUCCUCGAAUUAACGCGCUGGGCAUCCUAAGGGGUGAGCUCUGUUUAGCCGUAGGGGAUUAGUUUGGGUGAUUCCAGGAUACCCCUGUGUUGACCCAAAAAAAAAAAAAGGUAAUCAAGUUUUUUGCCAAGUUUAUCAGCUAUAAAUUUUUUAAUAAUUUUAGUUACAAUAAUUUCAAAAAAUUUCGAGAAAUUUUUAACUAUACACUUUAAAAUAUUCAAAAAUUUACACACUUUAAAAAAAUUUUUUACAACUUUUACAGUAAAUUACAAUAAAAUUUUAGACAAAUAUCCAAAACAUUCACUUGCAAAACAGGGAUGUAUCACUAAGAAUUUGACUGUUCAACCAUCUCAACUAUAAUAGAUUCAGUUGGGGAUAUAAGCAUCUAAAUUCAUACUAUAAAAUUGCACCUUGAUUUUGUCUUUGCUAUCAUAGUGGCAUGACGAAUUGGCCAAGCAUUAGUUUAUAAUGCCAAGACUCACUCCCCACUAGAUUUGACCUGCGGUGCUUUGUUAUCAUCUGGAAAUUUCUGCUUCUCAUUGCUUGUUUCUCCUUGCCUUCUUCAUACAUAGUAGAUAAUAUUCGAAAUCCACUUAAUUGUUGUUCUAUAUUUUUGCCAUUAAGGUGAGGGCGAGGGGAGUUAACACAACUUGAAACAGGUAUUGGCACUUCUUAAUUAUUCUACAGCAGUAUUUUGUGUUCCAACAAAAUAUGGAUGGUUUACGGGGAGAACUCUUAGGUACAAGCGUAAGAGCAUUGGUUCCCCAAUGACAGACAUCACCACCAUUUGCUUUGUACAUAUACAAACAGCGCAGAUUACAACACAAGUAAAAGUUAAAAGGCAAAAGAAUUCACAUCACAACCGGCUUCAUACAUACAUACAAGGUAUUGAGUAUUCAGUUUGAACUCUGUAUAACUCUUGAUUUAUGUAAACUGCCUUUCAAUCCACUGCAUAUUGCCUAACCUGCCAACCAAAACUCGCAAACCCAUGAAAAUUUUGUGAAGGAAGCCAACAGACCAAUGCCUAAACGGCUUCUGUCUUCUAGGACUCCGUUUUAUCCGGGUUGAACUUUGCAGACUCCUUCCAGAUGAGCUCGCUUAUCUCUUCCUCACUCAAUGACGUCUGUUCAAAGUCGAAGAUGAAAGGGGAUGGACAUGUAGGUUCCUCAUUUAUCUCAUGUAGACUUGAUAGGAAGGGAUGAUUCAAUGCUCCCUCGACUUCAUCAAACAGAAACAGUAAUGCUAAGACAAGUACCAAUAGCUAGUUUACUUAGUCGUAAUAAUAUGUGAAAGCAUUGUAACAAUCGUCAAAGUACCAGGAGGUGUACCAGUUAUGCGUUUAGAUGGAUCAAAUACCAGCAUUCUCUCUGCAAGAUCAAUGGCAACAGGGGACACGUCUGGAAAUUUGUGGGAGAAAGGUUUCUUUGGAAAGAUGGGAAGCUUCUUUACAUACUUCCUCGCAUUCUCACUCCGCAGGAAUCCAAGAUCUUCAUCAUCUGGGGACCCCAAUAGCUGCCCUUCCCACCAACGCAUUAGUACAAAGAUUAAGCAAAAUUACAAGUCACUUUGUUAGCAAUUCCAGAGUCAUGUAAAAAUCAUACCAAAUUAAAUACCAUAAUAGGAACCCUAGUUUAAGUUCCCAAAAAUUUGAAGAAUGAAGAAAAUGUACCUCCACUAUAAGCCCCAGUUGCUGAGCGUAGUCUCUACCUGGAAAGAUAGGUUCCCUUUUAAAAAUCUCCAGCAAAAUGCAGCCAACUGACCAAAUAUCAAUUGCCGUAGUAUAUUCUGAACAAUUCAACAGUAGCUCAGGAGCGCGAUACCACCGAGUUACAACGUACUCGGUCAUAUAGUCCGUUUCUGUGGUGGUUCUUGCAAGGCCAAAGUCACAAAUUUUGAGGUCACAAUUGGCAUUCAGAAGCAAAUUACUGGGUUUUAGAUCUCGAUGCAGAACAUUGGCAGAGUGUAUGUACUUCAGUCCCCUUAAUAACUGAUAUAGAAAAUACUGCCAAAAUCAAGACAAAGAUAGUUUAAGAUUCAGCAUUCACCAAAACCACAGUAAAAGGGGAGCAUCGGACACAUGAAGGCCAACUACUGCAGAAAUUGUUUUUCAAGUACAAGGAGCAAUAACGCAAAGAUGACAACCAUCAGAGGGAUAAAUAAUACAAACACGGCCUGAACUAUGUCAUUUAUAUACCAGAAGGAAUUCCAUCAUAUAUCAGAACGAAUAUCAUCGCAUACCAGUACCUCAGAAAGUCAAUAUCAUGGUGGGAAUCCUAGUAAAGAACAAGGAGGACCGCGUAAGAGAGGUAGAUAAAAACGAAAUCUUCCUUAUAGCCACUUAGUCGCAUGACAGAAUCAAAUAAACACAAAUAAUUACAAUGUGACCAAACUCACUUGGCAGUGAUCCUCUGUGAGUGCUUGGGGAGAACAUAUUAUCUGAUGCAGAUCAGUAUCCAUUAACUCAUAAACAAUGUAAACCUCAUUGAACUUUUCCUUCUCCGGAGGCCUUAUUAUAUCCUUAAUCUUGAUAAUCUGCAGAAAGAAGAAUCAGCUAAAACAACUUAUAGGUUCCUCCUAUAGCCAGACAAUAGAUCAAAGAAUUAUCAACGAGAAGGAAGCUUAAUGCCAUAAAUAACCCAUUGAUACCAAAUCAAACAAGAUAAAUUGAAUCAAAAUGACCACUGAUUAUUUAUAUCACUUCAAAUAAGCAAAGAAAUCCAGUUUGAAAAGUACAUUUUCAUGAUCCAUAUGGGUAAGAAGCUUGAUCUCGCGAAGGGUCCGUUUGGCAUCAAUCCUAUUAUCAAAUGCAUUCCCAAUUUUCUUGAUUGCGACUUCUUCCUUUGUCUCAGAAUUAGUUGCGCAACUGCAAUCACAACACAAAAAUCGGGAGUUUCAGGGACAAGAUAAUACCAUUGAUUGUCAAUUUUCUCAAAUCCCCAUUUGCCAGAUGAUAGAAUUUUGACGCAUCAGCAGCGAAGAGGGAAAAGGAAAUUACCAAACGAUGCCAUAAGCGCCACGGCCAACGGGUUGAAUAGGGGGAAUGUACUUGGAGGUGACCUCAAAGAGGUUUCCCAGCACACUGUACUGGACAUAUUUUCCGCCGUGAGUUGGGAUGCCUUUUAACUGUACGAUGGUUUUGUUGUUUUCGUUUUCCUUGUCAUUUUCCAUUCCCUUUUUCGAUUUGAUUCUGGGAAUUGGAUUCGGAGGAAAUACUAGUGGUUGUAACUUGUUUGUUGCAAGUUCUAAGCUGUAACGCUCGCUCCUCUGAGCUUUCUUUUCGUGAACACUGAACACUGAACUAAGUCUAAGUGGGCAGAGCUAAGCUAAUUAAAAAGUAAAAAGAAAAAAGAAAGAGAGUGGGAAAGCGAGGGAGGGAAAAGAGCGUGCUUUCGAGGGAUUUGAGUCGGGAAAAGGGGGCCGUGGGGGCCAUUUUCACAUUGUCUGGCCUUAGCAAUUGCCAAUUAGCAUCUUUUCAACCUUUCGGGCUUGUCCGGUUCUGCACUUUGAAAUUCGAACAGGUUUUCCUUCUUUCUUUUUUCUAUUACAUCCAUGGCCUCUUUUUCUUUUUCUUUUCUUUUUUUUGAUAAUGACAUCUGUGGUCUCUUAGGGCCCUAAAAAAACUGGGGACCCUUUUGGUGUCAUCCAUUCGAACAUUAAUUCAUUUUUGAAAGUGCUUUUUGACUCCCAGGUUAUAAUAAAAAUUGAGAAAUGAAAAUGAAAGGAAUGAUUCUCUAGACGGAUUAUAGAAUUUUUCAAGGAGCUAAUUCAUAUUGAGCUUAUUCGAGAUUCGUUUGUCAACUAAUGAAAAGAAUAUCAUGUUCAUUUUUCAGCUUAAUUUGUAGUCGGACUCAAUAAUAAGAGACAAACUUGCAACUUACAUAUAAGAAAGAUCAGAUUUCCUAGAGCAGUACAGCUCGACUAUACGAAAGACUUGAACCAUUUGAGCUUGGCUGAAAUCAUAUAACCAGGAAUAAUCAAAUCUAACUCAAGAAUAACCUUUGAACUUGUUUAAAAUAUUACUAGUAAUUGAGCUUGGCUGAAACUACAAAUGGUUGUAGAUAUGGUUCCAAGUUGUUGACCAAUUUGGCUUCAACCGGAGCUUUGUGCCUGCAUCAAACAUGAGUUUUAGUUUGCAAAGUGACAUUUUCACUGUGAGUAUAAAUUUAUACUCUCUUCGUCCCAUAUAUUUAAUCAUGUUUGAGCAUAUAUGCUUUUUAUGCAUGGUACAAUCUAUCAAAUAGUUUUUGCUUUUGUUCGAUUUUUACCCUUAAUCAUGUGCUGGUAAAAAAAAAAAAAAAAAAGUUGACAGCAAUCCCAUCAUAUUUGUCUUUAUGUAUCAUUAAUGAAGGAUAUAAGAAAAAUUUCAGAGUAUAAUAAAGUAAUUAGAAAUGUCAAACAUGACAAACACUUUUGGACAGUCAAAAAGGGAAAGUAUUAACACUUCCAAUGUGACAAAGGGAGUGGAAAAUUUGUAAACAUUUUUCUUGUAAGUUUACCAUUUUGAGUAGUUGUUGAAUGGUUGUUAAAAAUGGAGUUCAUUUGUUUGAAUACUAGAAGGAAACCAACAGAAUUAGUAAUAACUCUUGACAAGGGGGGCUUGAAUUUAUAGUUGUUUCUUUUUUAUGAAUUCUUCAAAGUUCAGAAUGAAUUCUUCAAAGUUCAGAAGAGGAGGAGGAGGCGGCGGGGGUUUGGGAGACGGAGUUCGUAGUGUGCAGCAGAUGGCAAGAAGGCGUUUGCCGACGAAGCGCUCUUGUCUGAAAACCGUGUUAUGUGGUUCCUCACGACUCUGGCACGCUUCUAGAUGCGCCAAGCCAUCAUCUUCCAAUAUUCAAGAUGGGAUUUUUCGCUUUUAUUGAAGCAGUAAAAUUUCUUUCUGCUGGGUUAGAGAGACGGGCGUCAAUAGAAUUCACAUCACAGGCAAGUUUAAGCCAGGUACAACUAGACUCGAAUAAUGCAAUAGCAAGUCAAUGCAGAAAAAUAAAAUUAGAAAAACAUAAUUGAAGGAUCGAGGAAAUUCUAGAAGCCUAAUCAAAGCUGCCAGUGUGCAGAAUUUGGUUAUGCAUCGUUUGGCCGUGGCGCUUAUGGCAUCGUUUGGUAAUUUCCUUUUCCCUCUUCGCUGCUGAUGCGUCAAAAUUCUAUCAUCUGGCAAAUGGGGAUUUGAGAAAAUUGACAAUCAAUGGUAUUAUCUUGUGCAGAAUUGUUUUGGAAUGGGACCCCUCCCCAAUCCCCCGCCCCGCUGCCUACAAACUCCCCCCUCUCCCGCCCCAUCCCCCGUCCCCCGCCCCGUCCCGCUUCCCCGCAGGGCUAAUAAAAUUUUUUUAUAUAAUUUUAUUAUGGUUAAAUUUUAGCAAAUAAUCAAGUACUAAAAUAUCAACACAUCAUCAAAUUAUUAUUCAUUGUAAUUUUACAAUUGAAACUUAUAAAAACAAUCAAAUAAAAAUUAUUUGAAUACAAUCCAACAUGAUGAAAUAAAUAUAACUAAACUAGUCAAGUUUUCACUUUUGACACAAAUACAAUCACUAAUUCAUUAUUGUACUUGUGCUUUUUUUAAGAAAAAAAUGUUAUUGUAUUAAGUGUAAUUAGGAAUUUAGUAUAAAUGUAUUAGUAAAUUUAGUAUAACCAAUUAAUAAUUUGUAUUAGUACACAUAUAUAAUUAUUAGUAUAAUUAAUAAUAUCAAUUAUAUUAUAUAUACUAAUAGACAUUAUAUAAUACAUAUAACUAAUAAUAUCAUUAUCAUAAGUUUGUAACUAAUUAAAUUAUAUAUUAUAUAUACAAUUAUAUACAUAUAUAUUUUAUAUAUUUAUUUUUUUAAAGCGGGUGGCGGGGCGGGGGUACACUCCCCCGCCCCGUUUCUAAGCGGGGGGGAAAAAAUUCGCCCCAACCCCCUCCCCAUUAGCCCCCGCCCCCAUUGCCAUCCCUACAUACAAGCCCCUAUGAGGAUAGAUUUUCGUCAUUUCCCUCUAAUUGUUUUGGUUUAAAAUUAAAAUAGGAUUCAUUCGGCCAAUGAGUUAAUUAUUAUGAAACCCAAAUCAUUGAUGGAGAACUAUGAAAAGAUAAAAUACGCUUUUAAUUUCCAUUGAAUGAUUGUCAUAAUGAUCUAGUAUUAAAUAUUAAACACUAGCUAUUGGUAUUGUUAAACACUUUUUUACCAAACAAUCAAAUAUAUUAUAUUGUUUUAAACUUCCAGUUCAAUAUUAAUUUGUUAUUUUGAUACAUACACACGUUAAAGAUCUUUUCUCCAAUUGUGUAGUCUCUUUAGACCGUGAAUAAUUGACAAUUUCACCAAAAAGAAUAGAUAAAAGGGAGAAAUAAGGGUUGUGAAAAUCGAACUUAGACAAAUGCAUUUGACAAUGACGAUUAACUUCGAUUGGUGCCAAGUUCAAAAAAACUUUUUUUUUUUUAAGUGUGAGUUUUUUUAACUCGACGCCUCUCAUUCAUGCUCCAUUCCCUCCAAAAAUAUAUAUAUAUAUAUAUAUAUAUUAUUGACCGAAAACAAUUGCGCAUUUUCAAAGCUAAGGACAUGGACCAUUACGCGUAAAAGUAGAAAUUGACAAUGCCUACGUGUACAAGCCAUGAAUGGAAUCAAUCAAUCUACUUCAAAUGAUUCUGCUAUCAUUGUCCGAGUUACUUUUUUUUUUUUUUUAAUAAAAGAGACAGACAGACAAAUUUUAUUAAUGAUAGUACUAGUGUUGAAAAUCGUCUAGCAUGAAUUGCUUGACCAAAUUGUCAGAGUUAUCUAACCAUAUAACAAAUGUUAAUCAUUUGUAUCUUCUAUUGUUUGGAAUUUUGUAUAUGAAAACAUAAAAGAAUGGAGAACUAAAAUUCUUUCUACCUAGUUAGGCAUAUCGACUAGAAUUUAUAAACCUAAAUACCCUUUCAUGGUCCACAUUCAUAGGUGAUAGGACCAAUUACUAAACCAUCUGGCUUCAUCCGCUUUAGCUCCUCCUCCUCUCUUCUGCCCGGACCAUCAAUUCAAUAAAACCGUUUAAAGAAGAAAGGUGCAGCUGUUUGGUCAAUUACAAGGGUAAAGAUUCAAUAAGGGCUCUAGGCGGCUGGAAUUAGAAACUCAUUUAUUGCUGCUCCUGGUUUGGGAUCUCACGUGUUAAAAUUUUUUUUGGCAACCUUAUAAAUAUAUCAUAAAAAACCUAAAUGCAGAAAGGCAAUAAAUUGCGAGCAAUUAAAUUAAGGCAGUGGAAAUCUAACGUAGUACAAGUAAUUCUUUACUACUAUCAUAAGGAGUACCAAGCACUCUACCACCUUAGGCAACACUUAAUUAUUCAUUUUUUUUUUUUUUGUAAAAAAAAUAAAAUAAAAUCUGAAGAGUACUUGAAUUCCGAAUUUUCGGAUCCCAAACCAAAACUAUAAAAGCGAUUGAUGGCACAAAAUCGCAAAUAACAACGGCUUUAGGCCUUGAAUUCUGAAGAGUACUCUGGAAUUCUGAGAAUUCACUGAUUAAUGUUUGAAAGAUACAGCAGGGUAGGCAUUCUGAUACAACGGCUUUAGGCCUUGAAAGCAGGAAAAGGAUAUUCUUAGUGUUGAUUAGGAGUACAGCUUAUACAAUAAUCCCAGAGAAGGCAAUGAACGAACAUGACCUUUACAGACGUACCAUCAGCUUUAGCUUUUUACAGACACAGAUAGUACUAGCACAUGAUCAGAAUAUCCAGUUGAAAAAGAAAGAACCAAUAAAUAAUUAUUAUUAUUGCUACUCCUCGCAGCAUGGGACCUGGGUGAAGCUGAGUUGAGGAACGAGUACCAAUUGGCGGCCAGCCAAAAAAGACUCGAGCUAAUUACCAAGGGAUCAUUCAUCAGACUCGGAAUCUGAGUUGAACCCAGAAGGAGUUUCAUGUGGGGUGGUCGAAACUGAGUCGAGGGAGUCUAGAUUCUUGUUACUUCUCGGCUGUUUAGCCAAAGACACAAUAUCAGCAGCUGAUCUUGCAAUUGACUUGAAUAUCUUCACCUUGAUUAACCCCCUUCUUAGAGGAGGAUUUUGGUGCGACAUGUUCUUCAAUUGGCAGCAGUGAUCAGGAAUCCAAUCGGUCCUAAUAUUUUUGGUGAAAACAGGGGAAAGAGCAGAGUUCCGUUUGUUUCUUUCUGUUCUCGAGACGACGUCUCAAUGAUACUAGAGCGGUUACAAAAUGAUUCUAUUGCUCUAGCGUGGUUUGUGAGU